GAAGCUCAAUUCAAACUUCCUAAGGCAACUGUGAUGUCUGACUUGUAGACAGAUGAGGACGAUGAUGGCCCGUCAUACACCAAAAGAAAGAACAGUGACUGUGAUGAUGAAAAUUUAUUUGGAAAAAGGAGACUGGAAAAGAAAGGCAGAAUAAAGGAUCUUUCAGAAAUUGAUGCAGCACCUCAAGUACCAUCACCACCAAUGACUAUGGCAGGAACUAGGAACAUUUCCAGUCCUUGUUCCAGUGCAGUUGGAGAUCAAGACAGAACUUAUUGCAACUCGUCAUGUCUUUCAUUACUCACUGAACUUAUAAAAUCACAAGAGGUCAUAAAGCAGCAACUGGACCUGAUUCUCAAAAAUCAGCAAAAACAAAGCAGUACUCUGCAGCGGGAGGAAACUCCAGAUGCAAGCACAUUUGACCUUCCUUUGUCCAAUUUAUUUGAUUUAGAAAAGCUUGAACAUCAACUAGGAGCAGCCCGAACAAAGGAAGAAAUUGGUAGCCUACUUUGGAAUUAUUGGUGGGUUUUCCACUAAAGAAGCAGUGUGGCGUAUCCUAGGAAAGCUUUUGGUCAACUCCUUGGCUAAACAAAUGAACUGGAGUGGGGCAAACCAAAAAGUGGCUUUUCGUGCACUCACCCUAAGGACUGUCGUAGUCAAUGCAGUGAGGACAAAUGCCCAUACCAACAGCGCUACUGAUGAAGAGGUGGAGAAAUGCAUUACAACUUGCUCCUGAUAGAGAUGGAGGAAGGAAAAAAAGAGAGCAAGACAAUGUGUCAAAUGUCUAAAUCACUUUAAUUUUUUAUAUAUUUAAUUUUAAAACAACAUUUGAAGUGUAUUAAGAU
rnacentral:lncRNA from 1 species